ACUUCAAAUUGUGUUUCUCAGUUAACAAGGACUCAGCAAAAGGGAAGGAAACACUGAGUCCAGAUCAGGGAGACAGUCAUCAGAGGUAAGAAGAGCAUAGAGCAGUAAGUAAAUUUCGUUGAAGAUAUAUUCGGAUCAGCUCCAGGUAUAUCAUAGGUAUACCCAUGUACAUAGGUUUUGAUGUAAGCAUGUAAUAAUAUGUAUGUAAAUUAUUUGAGCAGUUGUAUAUAAAACUCUUGUAAAAUAUUUUGGUAUGUAAUUAAAUGUAAAUUAUUGUAAAUGUAAAUUUGGGAUUUCAAUUAUCUGAAUAGUUUGUAAUAUAAAUUUUGAGUCUUGAAAUGAAUGAGAUAUUUCUUUA